rnacentral:rRNA from 1 species
CACGUAGGGUGCGAGCGUUUGUCCGGAAUUAUUGGGCGUAAAGAGCUCGUAGGCGGUGUGUCGCGUCGGCCGUGAAAAACCUGCAGCUUAACUGUGGGCGUGCGGUCGAUACGGGCAUCACUGGAGUUCGGCAGGGGAGACUGGAAUUCCUGGUGUAGCGGUGAAAUGCGCAGAUAUCAGGAGGAACACCGAUGGCGAAGGCAGGUCUCUGGGCAUUAACUGACGCUGAGGAGCGAAAAGCAUGGGGGAGCGAACAGG